rnacentral:tRNA from 1 species
AGGCAGAACUGUAAAACAAAAUGAUUUCGGCUCAUUCCGUGGGAAAAUUCUUUCCCUCUGCCUU